rnacentral:rRNA from 1 species
UACGUAGGGUGCAAGCGUUAAUCGGAAUUACUGGGCGUAAAGCGUGCGCAGGCGGUUGUGCAAGACCGAUGUGAAAUCCCCGGGCUCAACCUGGGAAUUGCAUUUGUGACUGCACGGCUAGAGUGUGUCAGAGGGGGGUAGAAUUCCACGUGUAGCAGUGAAAUGCGUAGAGAUGUGGAGGAAUACCGAUGGCGAAGGCAGCCCCCUGGGCUAACACUGACGCUCAGGCACGAAAGCGUGGGGAGCAAACAGG